GAUGCUGAUUUGUUGUAAACACGGAACUGCACACAGGGUGUGAACAACGUAGCAGAGCUUUACACCGAGUUCCACGUCAACAUAUAUUGAGUGACUUCUCUUAAGGGUCCUCUUUGUGUCUUGCCUAAUAGAAAAACAAGAAAAAAUUGUUGACGGAGGGGAACCAGACUCAGUUUUGUAUCAUGAUGAUGCAUGAAGGAAUCCGUCGUCUCUGUAAAAGCCGAUUGGCUGUCCUUAUUUUCGGGAUUGUCAUUGGAAGAUGGGGGACAAACAUCUUUGGAGUUCCAGACGUUUCUUACGCCAAAGGACCUCAUCAGAAAGACGCCGAUGGUUUGAAGGAAAGUGUCAACAGGCUUUUGCAGGCCCAUGAAGCUCCCGGGAAGUCUAUACAGGACUUCUAUUCCAAAGACGCCCAAUGGUUAAAAGGAAGACUCCCAACCGCUGGGGAGCCAAGAAAGAUCCUACUCGACUGUGGUGCCAAUGUGGCGUCCACUGUACAGUUAUUUAGAGAGACCUACCCGGGAGGAAAGGACUUCAUCAUACACUCCUUUGAAAUAGACGAGAGGCUGGCGCCAUACUUCGCACCGUACCCGAAUCACGUGCUGCACUGUCCAACAGGGGUAUCGAACAAGGACGG